UGUAGUGUGUUGUGUUGGUGUGCGUGUGGUGAAAUAUAGUUCAUAGCUGCAAGAAAACAUAUAGAAUUGGACAAUGUUUAAAAUCUCUUUUACCCUUCAACUUGACCCGAACAGUAUCUAUGUAAAAAGUAGAC